UCCAACCACACUGGACUUGUUCCAGUUCCUUAAACUUGUCUGAUUUUCCUUUCCCCACAGCUUUCACACACGCUGUUUCUUUUGCUUAAAAUAUUCUUCUUCCAGCCCUGCCCUGGCCAACUUCACUCAUCCUUCCGAUUUCAGGCACCCUGCCCAGGGCCUGACAACAGCCAACCAAGAACGAUCUCCUCCCUUCCUUGCUGUGUCCAUCUGGGUGGACUUUUCCCAUUGUCUUAGCAAGGGAGCUGCUCCGAGGAAGUACCAGUCGUGUCAGCCAAGAAGGCCUGGGAGGAGCUGCUUUCCAGAAGCCCAGGUGCCUGAAGGAAGGCUCUUCCCCAAGCUGACCAAACAAAAUGGGCGGAGUCAUCCCGAUGGACGCCCAGAGGCUCACGCCCCCUCACAGCAUCCGAAACAUUUACAUUGAAGAGCGAGAUUAAAUCGCCAGACCAGCCCAUAACAUGCAUUUAAAAGGCUGUUUUUUCAUGACAUCUCAGUAAUGCCUUCAGGAUAGAGUGGUAAUGACAACGUGCCUGAAAAGAAGAUGGUACAUUUCUGAGGAAGCUACAUCAUCAAUACCAAAGCCUUUUGGCCUCAGAGGCUUUCUGGAAAGCAAAUGCCUCGCCUUGGAUGGGGGCAGGAAUCCAGUUUGAUCAGCAGUCUGAGCAGUGGGUGGGAAUUGGAAUCCACAUUCUCACAGUCUCACAGCCUUGACAGACAGAAUAUUCUAGAUGUUGACAACUCUGAAGCCACAUCAGGGAUGGAUG